UCCGCCUUGGCGUCCAUUUCAUGUUUACUCGUCAAGCAAGUUGUCGUCGCCUUGCUUUUCUCUGAGGAUUAAAACUAGAAACUUUGUUUUUUUCUGGACUUCCGCACUUUUGUGACAUUUAAUGAUGAACUUGCUUUGCUUCUUCCUCCUAGUUGUACAAACACACAGCGUGACGCCUGUGAUUCACACGCUGCAGUAUUUCACCACCGCAUGCUCUCAAGUUCCAAACUUCCCAGAGUAUGUGAGUGUUGGUUAUGUUGAUGAAGUUGAGGUGAGUUACUAUGACAGCAACAUCAGGAAAGCAGAAUCCAAACAGGACUGGAUGAACAAAAUCACAGCAGAGAAUCCAAACUACUGGAAGAUAGAAACAGAGAAGAAUGUUGUUGGUGAACAUGUCUACAAAGACAACAUUGAAACAGCCAUGAAGCGUUUCAACCAAACUGGAGGUGUUCACACUGUCCAGAUGAUGACAGGAUGUGAAUGGAAUGAUGAGACUGAUGAAGUUAAAGGUUGGAGGCAGUACAGUUAUGAUGGAGAAGAUUUCAUAUCGUUGGACGUGAAGACAUGGACAUGGACUGCAGCAAAACAACAAGCUUUCCCCACCAAACUCAAGUGGGACCAGGACACACAUGAACUAGACUACAAUAAGUAUUAUUACACUGAGCUAUGUCCUUCUUACUUGAAGAAGUAUGUGGAGUAUGGGAAGAAGGUCCUAAUGAGAACAGAGCUUCCAAAGGUGUUCCUCCUCCAGAAGACGCCAUCCUCUCCGGUCACCUGCAUGGCGACAGGUUUCUACCCCGACCGAGCCGACUUGUUUUGGAGGAAAGACGGCGAGCAGAUCUUCGAGGACGUGGAGCACGGAGAGCUGCUCCCCAACCACGACGGAACCUUCCAGUUGUCGGUGGAGCUGAAAGUGGAGGUGACGGCCGAGGUGGAGGGCAAGUACGAAUGUGUGUUCCAGCUGUCUGGCGUGAAGGAGGACCUGGUCACCAAGCUGGAGAGAAGAAGCAUCCUGAGCAACGCAAGCCCUGAAGGCAACGUGAGCGUCACUGCCACGCUGGCGGUCCUCGCUGUGGUGCUCCUCCUGGCGGCCCCCACCAUCAUCAUCUUCAUCAUCAAGCGUCGCCCAAGCAGACAAGCCCAAUACCAUGCAGCUGGUAAGUAAAACAUCUUCUCUUUCUUGGAAACCAGAACAAUAAACAAAGCACACUUUCUGGUGACGGUGGUAACCAGCUCUCAGAGAGACGUGAAGGCUGAAGGCUGAAGGCUGAAGGCUGAGUGACACACAGCACAGAUGCUUUGUGCACUGGAACACAGAGAGAUGUCUCCAUCGCUGAGGGACCUCAUCACACUUGGACUUUUCUUUCACAUCUGCACUAAUUGCUCCUCAUCUUACACCAUGUCUUCUUUGGCUGUUUGUGGCUGACAAAACACCUUCAAUCUGCAUUUGUCUACAAUAUUUUAUCAGAUGUUGAUCUUUGUGUCCAUGUAGUUGUGAUGUCAUCAUUUGGGGCUCAUGUGUCAUCACAUUGACAAGGAUUUCUUCUUUCCUUUUCAAACCAAUAGACAGCUGCUUAUCAGUGAAUAUCACCUUGUGUCACAUCUCAUCAUUAUUUUUAACAAUAUUUUGCAACAUUAGUACCAUUUUUAACUACUUCCGUAUGCUAAUAUUAAUUGUUUUUGAUGUAAUAUUUAAGAAUGAUGAUUAUGAGAACUGCUGUCCAGUUGUUUUAUCUUCUUUUCUGAUGACAUUAGUCUCAUUUGCAAUGCAGUUGCACUUCCAAGACCAUUAGAUGGCAGCACUGUAUAACUAUUUAUGCUAUGUUGUCAAACUAGAAAGUAGCUUUUUUUUUCAGGAAAUUAACUUUUUAGGUUGCGCCCUACAAAGUGUCAAUACUGUAAGAAUAGUUAUUACACAAAAUUGUAAAAUUCGAACUAUAAUCUUAGUUGUUUCCUUUACCAAAUUCCAAGGUGUUGAAAUCGCCAUGUAAAAUCCUUCAUGUAAAUAGUAGCCUGUCUUUGGCAAAUCCUAUGUAAAUUAGCAAUAAGAUAGCGCAUUUUGGAAGAGUGUCGCAUUACUUUAUGUUUGCGCUGUUUUUUUAUUAAGCACACUUUAUGGGUGUUGAAAAUGGCAACAUGACUUAGAGGGAGUUUGGCUGAGUCCGGCCUGAGUGCUGCUUGAGUGAUUGUUUACCUGAGCCCGUGUUUAGUCUGAAACCGGACAUGACGUCACAUGCAACAAAGGUAUCCAACUUGAUUUUACAUAAUUGAUAGUACUGAGGGAAUCGGGUCAUCACCUACACAAGUACUGAAUUGGGUAGCCAACCUUACCAGUUAGUGUGACGGAGGGGGACAGUGACACAACAUUUUUAUGACAAAGCGUUGCAAAAUAUUUAUAUUUUUUGAAACAAUUUGCUGUUUUUUACGUUCCUUUUUGCAUAAUCAUAUUUUCGCUUGAUUGCCAAACAUGCCGAGGAUGUCAUUUGGGAAGUAAACAAGGUAGGCCGUUCAUAUAGUCUUGAUAUUCAGUGUUUUAUGUGUACAAUGUUUCAUGUACAUUCUGGGGGUUUUAUUCAGUAAAAACUUGUCAAAUACAA